rnacentral:rRNA from 1 species
UACAGAGGUCUCAACCGUUGUUCGGAUUCAUUGGGCGUAAAGGGUGCGUAGGCGGUUGUGCAAGUCGGAUGUGAAAUCUCAGGGCUCAACCCUGAAACUGCAUUCGAUACUGCGCGGCUAGAGUGCUGGAGGGAGACUGGAAUUUACGGUGUAGCAGUGAAAUGCGUAGAUAUCGUAAGGAAGACCAGUGGCGAAGGCGAGUCUCUGGACAGCAACUGACGCUGAGGCACGAAGGCCAGGGGAGCAAACGGG